GGGCGUUUGGUCUAGGGGUAUGACGUCAGUUUUGCAUUGAACACUAAAUCUUGCCUAUGCCUACUGAAGGUCGCGCGUUCGAUUCGCGCAAUGUCCA